CACGUUAGUCGAACGAUGGCGGCCGUAGCAGACGUGUGUGCUGGCCUCGCGCAACAUAAGGCUGUAUUAUUACGAGAACUCUGUGACACGAAUGUAUUAGAUGUACUCGUAAAAAAAGGUAUUUUCAGCGUAAACGAACUCGAAGUGAUUACAAGUGCAGUUGACAGUGAUAAGUGUAAUUAUUUUAUAGAAGUUGUUAGUAAACAAAGUGGUGUAAAGUUAAGGGAUCUGUGCGCUAUACUUUACAACGAAUGUCCGAAACUAGCUAAAGAAUUGAUGUAUGAUAGGCAGAGAUAUGUUAUAAAUGGUUAUAACGGUAAUACCAAAGAAAACAUGGUGAUGAACCUUAAUUUAAAUAGAGAAUCUCCCCGCUCUCGUCGAUCAGUAUCGCAAUGUUCCUGCAACAGCGUCUCACGGCGAUCUUCCGCCGCCGCCUCCCCGAUGCCGCUGCCGUCUCUCAACAACACCAUGGAGAUGUACGUCGAACCGGUCGUUGAAGAUACAGCGGAACGUAACUCCGGUUGGGAAACGCAUAGAGUUCGACUUAACAGAGUCCCUGGUUACGGGUUUGGCAUCGCCGUCUCUGGGGGCAGAGACAAUCCGCACUUCGCGAGCGGUGAUCCUUCCAUCGCUGUCUCCGAUGUCUUGAGAGGGGGUCCAGCGGAAGACAAACUACAGGUAAAUGACAGAAUAGUAUCUGUCAACGGAGUACCUCUCGAAAACGUAGAAUAUGCACGAGCUGUCCAGGUACUACGAGAGUCUGGUGCGACGGUAUCGCUGGUGGUAAGGAGACGAGCACCGGCACCGCCACCGACAGCACCUACCACCAUCAAACUAGCUCUCACGAGAAAUGGGAAAAAAGAAGAUUUUGGAAUAGUCCUAGGAUGUAAGAUCUAUGUAAAAGAAUUAACGAUGCGGGCGAGAGAGCAACUAAACCAAGCCGGACAGGGUCUUUGCGAGGGAGACGUCAUAUCUCGUAUCAAUAACACCGCAGUGACGGACGCAAUGACCUUGAAAGAAGCCAAGAAACUCGUGGAGUCUUGCAAAGAUCGACUUAACUUGGUCAUUACAAGAGAACUUAUUAGAGAGGAGACAGUCACGAAUGGAAAUUACCAGAAUAAUUAUAGUAGUUUAGAAGCGACGCCUCACACGACAUAUCCAAGCAGUGGGGAUACGAUGUCCUCUCCGUACUCCAGCAGCGGACAGAAUCUGUACGUGGCGGCACCAGUGCGUGGUGCAGACAACCGGCGGGGGCCUCUCGAUGAGCAGCCACCGCGACCACCUCCACCGAGAAAUGAUGAUUACUAUAGCAGCCGAAGGCAAUUGUACGAAGAAGAUGGUAUGACCAAUCAGAGGAACAAGCCGCCGAGCGAACCAAGAUUAAUAAGUUUCCAAAAGGAAGGUUCAGUGGGACUCAGAUUGUGUGGUGGAAAUCGAUCUGGCGUUUUUGUAUCUGGAGUUCAACCGACCAGCCCCGCUGCGCUACAGGGACUCCAGCCAGCAGAUAAAAUUCUCAAGGUCAACGACAUGGAAAUGAAAGGGGUAACACGGGAGGAGGCAGUUCUGUUCCUGCUAAGUUUACAAGAAAGAAUAGACCUGAUAGUACAGCACUCGCCCGACGAGUAUAACGCAGUAGCCAGCGGACAGAUGCCCGGUGACUCGUUUCACAUCAAGACACACUUCCACUACACGGAACCCACGGAGGGCGAGAUGUCGUUCCGCUGCGGAGACGUGUUCCACGUGCUCGAUACUCUUCACAACGGGACUGUCGGUGCUUGGCACGUGUACCGGAUAGGUCGUAACAACCAAGAGGUUCAAAAAGGCACAAUACCAAACAAAGCUCGCGCUGAAGAACUAGCGACGGCCCAGUUCAACGCUACCAAGAAGGAGAUGUCUGGAAAUGACGUUAAACAUAAUUUCUUUAGAAGGAGACGUUCGACGCAUCGACGCAGCAAGAGCUUAGGAAAGGAGCACUGGGACGAGGUGGUGCUGUCGGACAGCAUCAGCAAGUUCCCGGCGUACGAGCGCGUGGUGCUGAAGCAGCCCGGCUUCGUGCGGCCCGUCAUCGUGCUGGGCGCCGUGGCCGACCUGGCGCGCGAGCGCCUGCUGGCCGACAGCCCCGACAACUUCUCCUCGCCCAAAAUGGACAGCACUCUUGAGGACAGUAAAACCAAGUCCACGGGUAUCAUUCGCUUAUCCAGCAUCAGAAGCAUCAUGGAGCGAGGGAAACACGCCUUACUGGAUAUCACACCUAACGCCGUGGACAGGCUUAACUAUGCUCAGUUUUACCCUAUAGUUAUAUUUAUGAAGGCAGACAGCAAACAUAUCAUUAAACAACUUAGAAGCGGCUUGCCCAAAUCAGCCCACAAAUCAUCUAAGAAGCUCCUCGAGCAAUGUCAACACAUGGAGCGCGUGUGGGGACACGUGUUCACGCACACCAUCACACUCAGCGAGGCCAACCAGAACACGUGGUUCAACAAGCUCUGUGACCUCAUACAGAGGACUCAACAGCAGCAGCUAUGGGUUUCGGAGACCAAGAGGCCAGAGCCGCUGUCAGACGACUUUUUAUUCUCGAUGUCUUCGAGCUCAGAGAACAGAUUAUCGUACGCGUCUAGUCCUGAAAGUGACUUGGAAGUCAGUCCGCCACCAGCACCGAGACUAGUGAAGUCAUCAUCGGACCCGUCCAUAGCGACCACUCAAGAUAACAUGGAUCGUGACGAUGAUAUCAAUCAAAUGACCGACGCGGUGCCUCCGCCAUAUUCGCAAGGUGGCUACGAUAGCAAAUACGGUUUUGCCAACGGUAACGGCCCGCAAAGCAACGGCGGCAAUCAUAGCCAGAAUAUGCCUCCGACGAGUGAAGCACCGCCUUACCAGUGUACUCCGAUGACACAUUCACCCCCGCACUCGCCUCUGUACGGAACUGUGCCCGAGCUGCCGCCGCGCAGCGGGCCGGCGGGGCGGCCGGCGGGCGGCGUGCUGCUGCCCGCGCCGCCGCCCAGCCGCGCGCACGGCUUGCGCCACAACCCCGCGGGUCGUCCGAGUGCCCAGGAGAGGUUGUUCGGUCCGCCGAAGGAGAACAGUGAGGAUACAGCGACGUACAGCGCGCGACCGGCGCACGGACAGGGCUCCCUGGACAGGCACAGACAUCCAAACAAUCCGAACUACGACGGCACGCCGCCCUACGACUACAGCGGGCCGGCGUCCAACAGCAACUCCAUGGGCUCGUGUCGCCUGCCGCCCAACGCGCCCGACGACCUCAAGGUCGCUCCCUCCAUCAAACUGGACCCCCCGCCCCCCAACCCCGCGCACAGUCCGCAGCGGACACACGAACACAACUCGCUGGACUACACGCGGCCGCCGCCGGAUAACUACAGAGUUCAAGACAACUACCGCAGCCCGCAGACUCGACCACCGCCGAUGAACGGCAAUAGUCCGCACGCCCAAAAUUCUCACAGCGCGCAAAAUUCUCAUAGUGCGCAAAAUUCCCACAGCGCCCAAAAUUCUCACAGCGGUCAAAAUUCUCAUAACGCGCAAAAUUCUCACAACGCCCAAAAUUCCCAUAACGCCCAAAAUUCUCACAACGCCCAAAAUCCUCAUAACACCCACAACGUGCCCACCACCCCGAUGCACGCUAGAGGACCGUCUUUACCAAACGUCCCGACCAACGAUCAUGCUAAGUACAGUGCGCGCACGAACUCUGCUUCCCAAGCGGACUACAGUGGUCGAGCGCCGCCCUACAAGCCUGUACCGCCACCCAAGCCCAAGCACUACCGUCCGCCCGAUCAGCCCCACCAGCAGCUACCACCACACCAGACCCACCAGCCGCAUCCGCGCAACGGGAGUACAGCCCUGGCUGCCCCGCAGAGCCUGGAGGCGGCGGGCGCGGCGCCGCACUACUCGCACGCGCACUCGCACUCGCAGCCGCACCGCGCGCCGCACGCGCACGCCUACCACCAGCAGAACAUGUACGGGUCUGGUCUGGGCGCGCAGUCUCCGCCGUACGCCGGCCCGCCGCCGCACCGAGCCAUCAACUUGCCGCACAACCCGCAUCUCAUAGAUUUAGCUGGAAGUCGAGAACAGCGAGGGUCGGCAUUCGAGUUGUAUAGAAAACCUCAGCAUAUGCACAAUUUGAGCUCAUCCGAUGCCAUGAACUCCAGUGUGGAGCCAGACGAAACAUUCUCACCAAAAACUAAAAAGAAAUUAUCUAAAAAACCAUCAUUCAUUAAAAACGCCGUACUCGAUUUAUUCCGUUCGAAAUCGAAAAACUCUCAGAAAGUUUGUCGACAGAAGUCACUGUGUGAGAAUGACUUGCAACAGAGAUACGCACAGCAAAUGCCGAUGCUGAGACGAGAGAAGUCUGAUCUCGGUGACAUCCACGUCAGGAACACUCAGAUCAAGAACAAAAUGUUGCAACGUAGCAAUUCGUCCUCGUGUGAAAAGCCCGUCUUAAAACCGAUAUUAAAAAGGCAAAGCUCAUUCUGUGACGAUAGAAACGGUUCAAUUUACACCGUAAGAGAUUACGAAACCAAAACUAUCGUCAAAAACUUAAGGAGACAGAACUCCAUGUGUGAAAUAGAAACUGAACCUAAAGUUACCCCUCUACUUCGUAGACAGAAUUCUCUCAUAGAAUAUAAUAGGAGAGGUGUCUAUGGACAGUCUUCCAGCUUUAAUAUGAUUACCAAAAUAGAUCCUAUUUACCAAAGACAACAGCAAAUAAAGCACGAACCAUUUUAUCCUACUCAACCUCUACCUCCAGAACCAAUUUACCAAAGCAAAGAACAUAUUGUUUAUGAUCCGAUUCCUAAACCAAGAAGGACGUACGCCUCGCUGUAUGAUACUUCUAGCGAAAAUCCCUACGCUAGCAGAUCAGAGAUCUCGAAUCAAAGCUUUGAAAAUCCGUAUGGGAACCGUGAAACACUAUCGAUGCCUCUAUUAGAUUCACCUUACGCAACAAGAGCUGAAUGCGUCAGGGAAGAUCCUUAUGCAAAUAAAAGUGAAAUAGUAGAGAGCUCAUAUAUGAUGACACAAGAUAUUCCAAGAAAACCAGAACCUCUGUACGCAGAAUCCCAAUACACUAGCAAAGAACAAAUGUUAAGGAAUAGAAUGACAUCCGAAAGUCCCUAUGCAACGAAAGAAGACAUGCUCCGUCAAAGAUUUUCAGAAUCUCCAUACAAUACAAAAGAAGAUAUGCUAAAACAAAGGUUGGAUGGUUCAUUAACUAAAGAACCUACUUAUGGUAAAAGGACAUAUGAGCCACCUCCAAGUACAUCUUGGUCUGAAAAUUCCUAUGCUAUUCGGCCGGAUAGAAGGCUUCAGACUCCAGUUAAUUAUCCUGGAAGAAUGUCGCCUAUGAGCAAAUGUAUGAGUGAACCUCCUUAUGCUAGUAGAACGGAAAUGAUGACAAGAAUUAAUCAAACGGAAUCGCCUUACGCUACUCGAUCUGAAGUUAAGUCUAGUUGUUCUGAUAACCAUUAUAACACUACAAGUGAUAGUUUAGAUUACACGCAGAAUAUAAGACCUGCAUCAGCAGAAUGUACGUAUGUUUCUAGACAGGAAAUACUAUCACAAAAAGCUGCUUUAUUGGCAAAUAAAGAAUCAACUUACGGAAGUAAGUUAGAGGAAAAACUAGAGAUUAUAAAACAAAGAAAUCAAGCAAAAAAAGAAAAGAUUUAUCAGACGAGAUUAGAAGCAAAUGAGAGCGAUUCUUUAAAAAGCAGAGAGCCAUUGUACGUAUCAAAAAGGGAACUGAAAGAUAGUGUUAUAUACGAAUCACACCAAGAAGCUAAAGAAGUACCAUUACCUUUAAGCCAAGAAGGCAGUGCAAGAAGUAGUCCUUAUGAACUUAGCGAUGCCAAUCAUUUAUCGCGCCGAGAACCAUUAUACCAAACGCCAGCGGAAGCUCUAACUGGUGAAUCUGAUACAUUCCAGGAAAUAGAUUUUUCUAAAUUAAGAUUAACAGAGUCUCAAACUGAUUCCGAAAAAGAAAAAUCAAAGAGUUUGGAAAGCAAAAUAUUGAAAGGCGAACCUCUGUAUUCACCUAGGUUGCAUGGUAAGGCUGAUCAUAUAUCUAACGCUCUAAAAGUGACAACUUCGCCAGUGCCUUACGAAUCUUCUACAUCAAUGGAGACACAUUAUGCCUCAGAAUGUAGUAUGAACUUUGAAAACAAACCUCAAAGUACCCCAUACACAUCUCAAGAUUUAAACGACCGUUCGUUAAAAACCAAUCGGACGGUCACGUUUUGUGAACGUAUAAUCGAAAAAAGUCCGGAAAGCAGUCAAGAUAAUUCAGAAAAUGCAUCCACUAGUAGAAAUGAAACGACUGUAAUAAAUAAUGACACGACAGUUCUUAAAGCCGAUGUAUCAGAGGACAAUGAAUCCGGCAAUAAAACUAAUGAAGUGGAACCCGAUGGACCUCACACGACCUGGGGAGUGUUUGACAGUGACGGUGGCAUACUAGAAGAUAGGCAUUGGGGCGUAUCUCUGAUCAUUCCACCAAAAGCAAUAGCUCCAGGAAUCAAACAAAAAAUCUAUUUUACCGUGUCUGAUCCGCGACUGAGCCAACGCGUGGGGGGACCUCCCAUCGAUAUGGAUAACGUUACUACCACUCAAUACACUCGUACUUAACGAUUGACCAGAGGAGAAGAAGACAAUGCUACGUACAACCGACAAUGUGAUCGUGAAGCAAUGCUGUCCCCACUAGUGAUGUGCGGUCCGCAAGGUCUAGUGUUUCUAAAGCCAGUGACACUGCGGCUGCCGCACUGCGCCAACGCCGUCCCAUCACUAGGGCUCACGAUCAAGGCCACGGAUACUGAAGCGCAUCUCAGCACGGACUGGGAUCAGAUACAUCUGCCAGCGACUACAACUCUCAACACGGUCGCGGUCAAAGUUGACCACUUUUAGGAAUCUUCAAAUUGUAUGCCAAAUGAUUACUUGGUAUUGCCGCCUUUAAUGAGUGUGUUGCAAUAAAAAAAAAAAUUGAUCGUAUUUUAGGUGAUUUUAAAAGGUUGCAUAUGAAUGAAUUGUGUAAUAACGUUUUUUUUUUGUUUAUGAUUUAUUAAGACAAAUAAAACAUGCGUUCCAUUUUGCUACCAAGAUAGUAGUCUAAAUAAAGCCAAAAUAGCGUCAAGUUUUUUUUUUUCGUUUAAAAUUAUUCACCCACCUGAUUUUGUAACUUUAAAUAUUUUUUCAUAACGAUAAUGUAAGUAUGUGGUGCUAGACAGUGACAAUUAAAAGAAAUCUAAGAAUGUGCAUAUCGAUACGAAUCUCCUUAAUGGAUUUGUAACAAUAAGUUACUAAUUAAUUAAAAAUGUAUUGAUUAUUUAACUAAAAUGCCUUACGUAAUCUAGAAUACCUUUAAUUUAAGAUUUAUUAUGUUCAUAUUGUUAUUUUAAAAUUAGAAUUAAUUUUAUAAUAAAAACGAAAUGUGCACAGACUAAAAAUUCGAAUAAGAAAUUGGCUUUCGCAGAUAAAAAAUGGAUUUAGUUACAUUAUUGUUUUUGAUAUUAAAAAAAAAUAAUUUUAAUGUUACUUUUAAUUUUGUAACUUUGGCCUUCGUGGCAUAGUCAUAUACCUAUGUUAUGUAUGCGUAGAUAUUAAGAGUGCGUAAGCGAACGACUGUAUGUAUAUUUUAUUGUUACUAGUACUUCGCUGAUUUACCUUGACUCGGUUAUUAAAUUUGUAUCUAAUAAAAAUAA